rnacentral:rRNA from 1 species
GAUGAACGCUGGCGGCGUGCUUAACACAUGCAAGUCGAACGGAAAGGCCCAAGCUUGCUUGGGUACUCGAGUGGCGAACGGGUGAGUAACACGUGGGUGAUCUGCCCUGCACUUCGGGAUAAGCCUGGGAAACUGGGUCUAAUACCGGAUAGGACGAUGGUUUGGAUGCCAUUGUGGAAAGUUUUUUCGGUGUGGGAUGAGCUCGCGGCCUAUCAGCUUGUUGGUGGGGUAAUGGCCUACCAAGGCGUCGACGGGUAGCCGGCCUGAGAGGGUGUACGGCCACAUUGGGACUGAGAUACGGCCCAGACUCCUACGGGAGGCAGCAGUGGGGAAUAUUGCACAAUGGGCGCAAGCCUGAUGCAGCGACGCCGCGUGGGGGAUGACGGCCUUCGGGUUGUAAACUCCUUUCGCUAGGGACGAAGCGUUUUUGUGACGGUACCUGGAGAAGAAGCGCCGGCUAACUACGUG